CUCCUUCCUCAGGAGCAUAUAAGCAGAGGGCUUCAGAGCGAGCCAUGGCUAAUUUGGAGCCCGGAGCUCAGCGGGACUUACACUGAGGUCAGCUCAGCAGGACAUGAGAGGCACCUGAAGCACUUGUUCCUCUCGUCCUCUUCCUCUGCCCACUCUUUGGUGCGCUCAAGUAGAAGAGGUCUUAAGGCAGAGCUGGACAGCAAGGGUCAUAAAGAGGACCUGUUUUGAAGACAUGAAACUACAUGGUAGUGACCGGAGCUCCAUAGGAUCCAGAAAGAAAGGAUGGGAAAAACAAAGCAAGAAGUGUAUUUGCUGGCACAUCUUCAAGGAUCUCACCUGCACCCCUGUUGACUCUACUGGUUGAGGUGUCAUUCGGUUCAAAGAGCCAAUUGGAAAGUAGGCAACUGGCCUUUCUUCCCCGAACCCUCAAUGGGAUUUUAAGGUUUAAAACACAGGGUGUGAAAGUACGGGUUCGAGAUCUAUGAGUGGAGCGAAAGUGACAAAGACAACGCUUUGAAGAAUAAAACAGUGAGUGACGAAACAAGUUAAACGAUCUGUCAAUCCAUCCAUCUAUUUAUCUAUCCAGCCAGUUAUCUGCCUGCUUCUAGCUUUGUCUCCUUGGCCACAGGAUAUGACUGAAUAAUUCUGUUUGAGAUUUGUGGAAGGAUUCUACAGAGAAAGAGAGAGCUGACACGAAGACUGUGAAAGCAGUUGUACAGGAGCGCAAGAUGACAACCAUUUGGUCAUCCGUACCGUUGAAAAGCAAAGCGAUGGGUGCAGUCAGUUUCAUGAAACAAUCAAUCAUUACCAACAGCGUCUGAGAAUAUCCACACCCUUGCCGUCUUCCCAAUUGUUCCUCUCUGUGAA